CCUUUUGAUAAUUACCUAAUUCUUGCUAUUUUUUAGCCACCUAUUGUUUAUGUUGGAGUUUCCGCUACAAAUUUUAAUCAUGAGCAUGUUUUCUCCUCUCUCUCUCUCUCUCUAAUUUUUUGGUGCUGAUGAGAAUUAUGGCAGAAGAUAUGGCGAAAUUUACUUUCACAAAGUGAAAAAUGUUUUAUGGUGGGAUUUGGGUUUCUUGAUAAUUUGUAACAUUGUAGUAAGGGGAUUUUCUGAAGUGAUCUCGUUGGCAACUGAUUCCAAGGAUCUCAAUAGGCUAUGGUUGCCUUGGGUUUUAUAAGUCUAUUUCCUCCAAAGCAAUGAUUCGUGACAUCGCAUCAGCACAAACUAUACAUUUAUCAACAAUGAUGGAAGGGGAAAAAAUGGCUAUGCAGCAGAAGCAAAAGGCAAUGAUGUUUGAGGGGGGUUUUUAAAAGUCUUGUGAUAGAGGGGGAUUGGGGAUGCGAGUAUCUUAAUUGACUUUUUAAUUUGCAAAUCUGAAAUAGAAACUGGCAAAUGGUGUUUCAAAGUGGUAUUUCUGGUGAAUGGUAUUGUGCCAUCAAAGAACAUAUAUAUAUAUAUAUAUAUAUAUAUAUA